UCAGGAUGAACGCUAGCGGCAGGCCUAACACAUGCAAGUCGAACGGUGAGGAGCUUGCUCUUGCUGACGAGUGGCGAACGGGUGCGUAACGCGUAUACACUUGCCUAUAACUGGGAGAUAGCCCAUGGAAACGUGGAUUAAUACCCCAUAACUUCGCAUGUUUAAAGCUUUUGCGGUUAUAGAUGGGUAUGCGUGACAUUAGCUAGUUGGUGAGGUAAUGGCUUACCAAGGCUACGAUGUCUAGGGGGCCUGAGAGGGUGAUCCCCCACACUGGUACUGAGACACGGACCAGACUCCUACGGGAGGCAGCAGUGAGGAAUAUUGCACAAUGGAGGAAACUCUGAUGCAGCCAUGCCGCGUGCAGGAUGACUGCCUAUGGGUUGUAAACUGCUUUUAUAUAGGAAGAACCUCUCUACGUGUAGAGAGCUGACGGUACUAUAAGAAUAAGGACCGGCUAACUCCGUGCCAGCAGCCGCGGUAAUACGGAGGGUCCAAGCGUUAUCCGGAUUUAUUGGGUUUAAAGGGUGCGUAGGCGGAAAUUUAAGUCAGUGGUGAAAUCCUACAGCUCAACUGUAGAACUGCCAUUGAAACUGGAUUUCUUGAAUAUAGUUGAAGUAGGCGGAAUAUGUAGUGUAGCGGUGAAAUGCUUAGAUAUUACAUAGAACACCGAUUGCGAAGGCAGCUUGCUAAACUAUUAUUGACGCUGAGGCACGAAAGCAUGGGGAGCGAACAGGAUUAGAUACCCUGGUAGUCCAUGCCGUAAACGAUGAUUACUCGAUAUUGGCGAUAUAUGUCAGUGUCCAAGCGAAAGUGUUAAGUAAUCCACCUGGGGAGUACGGUCGCAAGAUUGAAACUCAAAGGAAUUGACGGGGGCCCGCACAAGCGGUGGAGCAUGUGGUUUAAUUCGAUGAUACGCGAGGAACCUUACCAGGGCUUAAAUGUGAAUGACAGAUGUGGAAACACGUUCUUCUUCGGACAGUCUACAAGGUGCUGCAUGGCUGUCGUCAGCUCGUGCCGUGAGGUGUUGGGUUAAGUCCCGCAACGAGCGCAACCCCUAUCUUUAGUUGCCAGCACAUAAUGUGGGGACUCUAAAGAAACUGCCCGCGCAAGCGGGAGGAAGGUGGGGACGACGUCAAGUCAUCACGGCCCUUACGUCCUGGGCUACACACGUGCUACAAUGGCGAGUACAAAGGGCAGCUACCUGGUGACAGGAUGCUAAUCUCUAAAGCUCGUCUCAGUUCGGAUUGGAGUCUGCAACUCGACUCCAUGAAGCUGGAAUCGCUAGUAAUCGGAUAUCAGCAUGAUCCGGUGAAUACGUUCCCGGGCCUUGUACACACCGCCCGUCAAGCCAUGGAAGCUGGGGGUGCCUGAAGUCGGUGACCGCAAGGAGCUGCCUAGGGUAAAACUAGUGACUGGGGCU
rnacentral:rRNA from 1 species